rnacentral:misc_RNA from 1 species
GAGAGAGAAAGACAGAGAGAGAGAUAACAAACAAAUAAAUUUCUAGAGAUAGAAGGCUAAACACUGAUGUAAAACCAAUAGAACAAAAGGGGGAAGAGAAACAAAUUCUCAAUAUUAAUAAUAGUCGUAAUAAAUCCUAUCAAAAUACCUAGGAGACAUAGGUAUUAUAGUAGUAUUUGAAAUCCUACUAGUACUAGGAUUUGGAAUCCCAAGCA